AUAAUACAUCUCAACUCUCAAUCUCGGUGCCUAUCUUCAUCCAACCUAUGCCCAAAUCUCAAAUGCUUCACAUGAUCACGUUAUCUCCGCUUCUCCGCCGCUCCCCUGCGCCUCCUUCAUUACCACUAUCAACCUUUACCGUCGUAACCACCAUCGCUUCAGCUUUGCUUCAUUUAAGACCGGGUCGGCUUCAACAACGAUGAUGCCCUAGCCUAGGUUUUCGGCAAUGACCACUAACAACUGCACCAUCAUCGCACGCCGCCUUUCAGAAAUCCUAAAGCAUCGUUUCCACCAAUACAAACCUCCAAACCUCUAGGGUUUUGAAGAUGUUUGGGUAUUAAAGAUUUUCUAUUGGAAAAAAAGAAAGCAGGGGUGAGAUCGACAAAGAGGUUCUCCUAAAAUACAUUUCCCUCUGGCUUGAAAUAGAGUUUUAGCUUAUGCAGGUUUGCCGUUUGCCCCUAUUCUUUCCUUUUCUACUAUGGUUUAUAUGUACAUGUUUAUUUAAAUAAUUACAUGUUUUAUUGAAUAAAGGAAAUAAUAUUAAUAUUUUGUUUUGGUAUGAUGUAGUGAAUAUACACAUAGCUGAUUUAAGGAAGUUGAAGGAAUGAAGGUAAUGAAUAUAAUAUAUUUCAUUCAUUGAGGGUAUGAAUGGUUAAUGAUUUGUUGUUGUUGUACAUUGAGCUUGAGGGUUUGAAUUUCAUACAUAUUAUAUGUUUUUUAUGAUUCCUUUUUAUUUUAUUUUUCUUUUUUGCAGAGUGUUUUUUUUAGCAACGGUAUAGAGAAAUCAUCCCAUAGUGGUCUAAAAAAUAGAGGUGGCAAGUUUAGGUUUUGAAUUUGUUUAUUUGUGUGUAUUUUUAUGUAAAUAUGUGUAUUUGUGUGUAUACUGGUUGUUGUUGGCAGGAUGCAAAGCAAGGUACAUGGGUCAUGAAUGCCUUUCAGGGAAGCAUUUAAUUGAUUGAUGUAGGAAUGUUUUACAUUUCAGAUCUUUAUGGUUUUUCUUGCUUAAAUCUGUUAUCAUCAAAAUUUGAUUAAUUGAUUAAUUGAUUUUUUUAUGGUUCGAUUUGAAUCUCUAUUGAUUCUGUAAUUCAUAUUCGUUUGAGUAUGAUUAUGUAAACAACUCAUAUGUUUUUCCAAAUAUGAAUUCUAGGUUAUGGACUGGGCUACAAA